rnacentral:rRNA from 1 species
UACGUAGGGCGCAAGCGUUGUCCGGAAUUAUUGGGCGUAAAGAGCUCGUAGGCGGUUUGUCGCGUCUGCUGUGAAAAACCUCAGGCUCAACCUGGGGCUUGCAGUGGGUACGGGCAGACUAGAGUGCGGUAGGGGGUGACUGGAAUUCCUGGUGUAGCGGUGGAAUGCGCAGAUAUCAGGAGGAACACCGGUGGCGAAGGCGGGACUCUGGGCCGAUACUGACGCUGGAGGAGCGAAAGCGUGGGGAGCAAACAGG